CAGCUUCAAAAGCCCCAGAAUUCAGACCACCUGACCGUGACCAUUUGGAAGUACAUCGUGUCCUUAAUGUUCUCACUCUUAAAUUAUGGUCAAGAGAAUGCAGCUGCCAUCUCUAGAGAUCACUGUGAUUAUGGAUAAGAUGAUAAUGACCUUAUUCCAGAGGGGGAGCUUGUAACCUAAGGAUCUUGCCCUGUUGCCCAGACUGGAUUACAAUGGCACAAUCACAGCUUAUGGCAGCCUCAACCACCUGGGCUUAAGCAAUCCUCCCACCUCAGCCUCCCAAGUAGCUGGGACUCAGAGUUUUGCUCUUGUUGCCCAGGCUGGAGUACAACGGCAAUAUUUUGGCUCACCACAACCUCCACAUCCCAAGUUCAAGUGAUUCUCCUGCCUCAGUCUCCUGAGUAGCUGGGAUUACAGGUAUGCACCACUACAUCCGGCUAAUUUUUUGUAUUUUUAAUAGAGACAGGGAUACUCUUUAUAAAUAGCAAUUCUAUGCUUUCAUCAACUUAGGCCAUUAUAAUACAUUUAUACAGUAUGAAGCCUCAAAGUUAAAAUUCACAAUUUCUUUAAUCUUUUUCAUCUAACAUUUCUAUGCUCAUUAUAUAUUCCCAGAGUCCUAAUGACUCAUAAAUUGUGUUAUUAUUCUUGUCAUCCCUCUAAUAACUUCAUUCAGCUUAAUAAAAUCCCCACUUAUUUUACUUACUUUAGGCCA
rnacentral:lncRNA from 13 species